rnacentral:rRNA from 1 species
UGGCUCAGGACGAACGCUGGCGGCGUGCUUAACACAUGCAAGUCGAACGGAAAGGCCCCCUUGUGGGGUACUCGAGUGGCGAACGGGUGAGUAACACGUGAGUAACCUACCCUUGACUUUGGGAUAACUUCAGGAAACUGGGGCUAAUACCGGAUAGGAGCUCCUGCUGCAUGGUGGGGGUUGGAAAGUUUCGGCGGUUGGGGAUGGACUCGCGGCUUAUCAGCUUGUUGGUGGGGUAGUGGCUCACCAAGGCUUUGACGGGUAGCCGGCCUGAGAGGGUGACCGGCCACAUUGGGACUGAGAUACGGCCCAGACUCCUACGGGAGGCAGCAGUGGGGAAUAUUGCACAAUGGGCGGAAGCCUGAUGCAGCAACGCCGCGUGCGGGAUGACGGCCUUCGGGUUGUAAACCGCUUUCGCCUGUGACGAAGCGUGAGUGACGGUAAUGGGUAAAGAAGCACCGGCUAACUACGUGCCAGCAGCCGCGGUGAUACGUAGGGUGCGAGCGUUGUCCGGAUUUAUUGGGCGUAAAGGGCUCGUAGGUGGUUGAUCGCGUCGGAAGUGAAAUCUUGGGGCUUAACCCUGAGCGUGCUUUCGAUACGGGUUGACUUGAGGAAGGUAGGGGAGAAUGGAAUUCCUGGU